CUGCAGUGUAAAGUAUGUUUUGCACAGCUGGUCCGGUACAGACAGGCCCAAGGGCUACUGCACGAGCUAUUUCUUGUCUGAGUUGUUCAAAGGCCUGUUGUUGCUCAGGGCCCCUCUCAAAAGAGUUCCUCUUUCAACACAUCCUGGUUUUGCUCUUUCA